rnacentral:rRNA from 1 species
AUACGGAGGGUGCGAGCGUUAAUCGGAAUUACUGGGCGUAAAGCGCGCGUAGGCGGCUAGGUCAGUCGGAUGUGAAAGCCCCGGGCUUAACCUGGGAAUUGCAUUCGAAACUGCCUGGCUAGAGUAUGGGAGAGGGAAGCGGAAUUUCCGGUGUAGCGGUGAAAUGCGUAGAUAUCGGAAGGAACACCAGUGGCGAAGGCGGCUUUCUGGACUAAUACUGACGCUGAGGAGCGAAAGCGUGGGGAGCAAACGGGAUUAGAAACCCCAGUAGUCC